GACGAACGCUGGCGGCGUGCUUAACACAUGCAAGUCGAACGGAAAGGCCCUGCUUUUGUGGGGUGCUCGAGUGGCGAACGGGUGAGUAACACGUGAGUAACCUGCCCUUGACUUUGGGAUAACUUCAGGAAACUGGGGCUAAUACCGGAUAGGAGCUCCUGCUGCAUGGUGGGGGUUGGAAAGUUUCGGCGGUUGGGGAUGGACUCGCGGCUUAUCAGCUUGUUGGUGGGGUAGUGGCUUACCAAGGCUUUGACGGGUAGCCGGCCUGAGAGGGUGACCGGCCACAUUGGGACUGGGAUACGGCCCAGACUCCUACGGGAGGCAGCAGUGGGGAAUAUUGCACAAUGGGCGGAAGCGUGAUGCAGAAACACCGCGUGCGGGAUGACGGCCUUCGGGUUGUAAACCGAUUUCGACUGUGACGAAGCGUGAGUGACGGUAAUGGGUAAAGAAGCACCGGCUAACUACGUG
rnacentral:rRNA from 1 species